rnacentral:SRP_RNA from 1 species
GCUGGGUGUGGUGGCGCAUGCCUGUAAUCCCCGUUGCUCAGGAGGCUGAGGCAGGAGAAUCGCUUGAACCUGGGAGGCAGGGGUUACAGCGAGCCAAGAUCAUGCCACUAAACUCCAGCCUGGGUGACAGAGCGAGACUCUGUCUCAA